rnacentral:lncRNA from 1 species
ACAGAGGGAAGAAGACCACGUGAAGAUGGAGGCAGAGGUUGGGGUGGUGUAUCUACAAGCCAAGGAACAACCAAGGAUUGCCCACAGCCACCAGAAGCUGGAAGAGGCAUGGAUUUUCCCUCAGUCACCAGAAGAAGCCAACCCUGCCGACACACUGAUUUCAGCCUUCUGGCCUCCAGAACUGUGAGAGAAUACAUUUCUGUUCUUCUAAGUCAUCCAGAUUGUGGUUAUUUGUUACAGCAGCCCCAGGAAACUAAUGCCUGUGCAGACUAACAACUGAUUCAUAAAAGACACCUGAACUGAUGGAGGGUUACAACCAGCGCGCCUGCCUGAGUGAGAGCUGCACCCCAGAUGGGCAGGCAGAAGCACCCGCCUCUCCCUCUUUCAUACCACAUCUCUUCCUCCUUGCGCUGGAGACUGUCCCUGAACCACAUACAGAGUUGUGUAUCUUAGCUGUAGGUCUUUCUGGUUCUGCCACAUGGGAGGUUGCCUCAGCAUGGCCAAAUGAGCGACGCUGGGUCUGCACUCAGGAUCAGAACUGGUGAGCCCUGUGCCACUGAAGUGGAGCGUGCAGCCGCUCGGCCACUGGCUCAGCCCCUUUGCUGAUGCUGGGUGUGACGGCUGCCGGGCAGGACAGGGUGGGGCCCAUCCAAGCGCUGCAGUGAACGGCAGGCAGUGUCUGCAGGGGAGGCGCAUGGCGGCCGGCAGCCCUGGCGCAGCCCGGCCUCCGCGGACAGAGCUGGAUCUUUCUUCCAGGAGGCUGUGUCCUG